rnacentral:rRNA from 1 species
UACGGAGGGGGCUAGCGUUGUUCGGAAUCACUGGGCGUAAAGCGCGCGUAGGCGGACCAUUAAGUCGGGGGUGAAAUCCCGGGGCUCAACCCCGGAACGGCCUUCGAUACUGGCGGUCUGGAGGUCGAGAGAGGCGAGUGGAAUUCCGAGUGUAGAGGUGAAAUUCGUAGAUAUUCGGAGGAACACCAGUGGCGAAGGCGGCUCGCUGGAUGGUUUCUGACGCUGAGGCGCGAAAGCGUGGGGAGCAAACAGG